rnacentral:rRNA from 1 species
UCAGGACGAACGCUGGCGGCAUGCCUAAUACAUGCAAGUCGAGCGGACUUGANGAGAAGCUUGCUUCUCUGAUGGUUAGCGGCGGACGGGUGAGUAACACGUAGGCAACCUGCCCUCAAGUUUGGGACAACUACCGGAAACGGUAGCUAAUACCGAAUAAUUGUUUUCUUCGCCUGAAGGAAACUGGAAAGACGGAGCAAUCUGUCACUUGGGGAUGGGCCUGCGGCGCAUUAGCUAGUUGGUGAGGUAACGGCUCACCAAGGCGACGAUGCGUAGCCGACCUGAGAGGGUGAUCGGCCACACUGGGACUGAGACACGGCCCAGACUCCUACGGGAGGCAGCAGUAGGGAAUCUUCCGCAAUGGGCGAAAGCCUGACGGAGCAAUGCCGCGUGAGUGAUGAAGGUUUUCGGAUCGUAAAGCUCUGUUGCCAGGGAAGAACGCUUGGGAGAGUAACUGCUCUCAAGGUGACGGUACCUGAGAAGAAAGCCCCGGCUAACUACGUGCCAGCAGCCGCGGUAAUACGUAGGGGGCAAGCGUUGUCCGGAAUUAUUGGGCGUAAAGCGCGCGCAGGCGGUCAUUUAAGUCUGGUGUUUAAUCCCGGGGCUCAACCCCGGAUCGCACUGGAAACUGGGUGACUUGAGUGCAGAAGAGGAGAGUGGAAUUCCACGUGUAGCGGUGAAAUGCGUAGAUAUGUGGAGGAACACCAGUGGCGAAGGCGACUCUCUGGGC